rnacentral:misc_RNA from 1 species
AUGAAUGAUAGUAACACGUAAUCGGAUUGGAUUCAGUUAAAUCUACAUUUCUCAAGGUAUCUAACAUCGAGAUUUGAAAUACCUUUCAUGUAAAAACCUUUCUUUGUCAUGUGACUUGUAUAUAUUCGUGUAUAUGUACCUUCGCAUUCUUGCACAAUGGCACAAGCAACGUGGUCUCUUUCUGUAAAAAAUAGCACUCUUUAUUUCAGCCACAGCAAAGAUCCCGAACCACGUGCAGUCAGCAAAGUUACAGCGUCUGGUUACCGUCUUGCAGUUACGAUACAGCUUCAUGACAGUGUGGACAUUGAGUGCCCCCUACACAAAUAUGCAGUCACUGACAACUUAUGGAGUGACCUGUACAAAACAGAAGAUGCAGACGACUUCCUGGAGACACUUGACAUGCUGAUGAGUGUAUAUAAUGUUGAAUAUGAAGGAGCUGUUUCGGCUGCCAAACCAGGGGACAUACCCUGCAUAUCACUGGCAGAGACCUCCCCAGCAGGCAUUUCACAACCUUCACCCAACAGCUGGUAAAAGUGAGACAGCCCUUCUUUGCAGUGCAGAUACUAAAUGGAGGAAACAGUGCCAGGCAGCAGUGAAACCAACAGAGACAUCACGUCACCGUUUUGGUGGUUGUUUCAAAGUUCAGCUAGCAGUAGCUACGAUGUCAGACAGAUGUUAUCGUCUCAUCCUUGAUAUUAUGGAAUUAUUCAGCCUUGGUAAACUUAAGGAACAAAAGAACACAAAGGUCAACACCUGUCUUUUCUUGGAGACUGCUUCAUUUAAAGAUGAGGCAACCCUUUAUAGGAAGCUAAUAGAAUUUAGAAAUGGUGAAAUCUCCAAAGAAGAGUUCAACAAUCAACUUAAACAGAUUAAACAAGAAAACAAGGGAACUGGAAACAAUCAGGAGGCAGCUGCUGAAGUAUUAGUGCUGCAAGAACAACUGAAAGAGAAGGACAUUUUGAUUCAGGAGCUGAGGAAACAACCAAGUUCUAAGACAGGAACUGGAUAAAAUGGAAAUGGAGAAAUCACAGCAGCCUCGAAGAUGUCAGGAUCAGGAGAAAUCACAGGAAAUACGAAGAUUGCCUGAGCUGGAUGUUUAUGCAUUCAGUGAUGAUGACCUGGACCUACAAGGGACCCUAGUUCGGGGGUUACUCCAUGAGGAAUCAGCACAGGAACAUCAUGAGAAUCUACCCAUCAUGGAAUGCCAGGAUCUUCCAAUUCCACAUUCAAGUUCAAGGCUUAGAAGCAUGAGGAAAACAGGAUCUGACAAGGCAUCUAGAAUUGUUCAAACUGAGAAAAUGGUUGAGACAUACUUGCAAAGGAGGCGGCACAAUAAAAAGAUGUCCCCCUGCAAAUUCAAUGUUGGCAUGAUUGUGGAGGCAUUGGAGGAGGAUGGCUUUUGUUAAAGAAAGGUGACGAAGUAGAGGCCCCAUGGCUGGUGCACAGAGCAGAUAGGUACCCUGGUCAUGUGGAGCGCAUUGAUGGAGAAUAUGUGCACA